UGCGGCCGUCGAUCUCGCCGAUGACGUGCAUCACCUCGGACACAUUGGCCGCCGGGCGGCGCUUGUC
rnacentral:tRNA from 1 species